rnacentral:lncRNA from 1 species
AUUUUUAAGAUGAAUUUUAAACUUGAAGGUAAAAUUUUCCACAGUGAUUAAAUCCCACUUCAAGUAUUGUUGCUGCUUUAAUGCCAGUUUGGAUGAGAAUCAAAUGAAUUGGGAAUAAAUUAUAGAAGGGCUGUUAAAGAAGGCUUGUUUUGCAUUUUUUCUCUAUGCAGGAGGAUUGCCCUGUUUCCCUCUUUCCUGACUGUGUGUUCCAUCUUGAGCAGCCCCUCAUGGUAGAGUCUGCUGUGGCUGACGGAAAGCCUACAGUGAGGGAGGCCAGCCCUUCGCCUCCAACAGAGCUGGGAGAACAGGGCUGUCUCUAGGCCUCUCUCUCUUGAUGGUGAAAGUUAAAGAAGUUGUCUAUCAUAUUGGUUUCUCCACAGCCCAGAGUUUGCGGAUGUGACACUCUGAUGCAAUUAGAAUACACGUACUGUGCAACAUUCUCUGAUGGCAGAGCCCCGAAUCUACUAAUAUGCAACCUACUUCAGUCAGAGUUGGGCCUCUUCUUUUCUAAGCUCCUUUUUCUCCCUUUCAUUUCUAACUCUUCAAGGCCUCUGGGUUUCCAUUUUCAGAAUUCUAAAAUAACAGCCCUAAAUUGUUAGGAUAAAUGAGUCGCUGGAAGAAAAGGAACUACACAAACC